rnacentral:tRNA from 1 species
GAGGGUAUAGCUCAGGGGUAGAGUGCAUGCUCAGCAUGCACGAGGUCCUGGGUUCAAUCCCCACUACCUCCG